ACACGAAUACAAACUCCACGACUAUUAGAAUAGAGGGCCACCUGAGAUUUGCCUAUGCUAUGACACCACGAAUUCUAGCUUGAGCCAUCCUCACGGCGAGUCUAAUUAGGAGUAUAUAAUAAAGGAGUAUCGCUGCAAAGGCAAGAAAAAUACUGUAAGGCCGUUCAAUAAUAUUCUGUGGUUCUAACAGUUUCAGAAUGAGAAAAGAAAAUUCUGUAAAAUAGGGGUACGCCAUCCAGCUUGGUAUCAUAAUGACUCAAGUACAAGACCGAGAAAUUUGUUGAAUUCUUUCAACAAAGUUGGUGAUAACAAUGUUUCAGGAAGCCAGUUUAGACCAGCUCAUGCAGGUGAUAGUCAUAGCAGCAGCUUCGCAUCGAUGUCAGGAACUAAGGCCGGUCUGAGGAAAACCACCUUUCCAGAUGCAGGAGACAUGGACAAUGUUGCGGAUGACGAUACUAACACUGACUGAGGAAGAAGAAGGUUUGCAAGCUUUUAAUCCCCUGCAAUUCCGUGUUCCUUGCAUGUGUCUUGGAUUUUUGAAAGAAGUAUAUCACCUUCGAAAUUUC